rnacentral:rRNA from 1 species
CCUACGGGGGGCUGCAGUGAGGAAUAUUGGUCAAUGGACGAGAGUCUGAACCAGCCAAGUAGCGUGAAGGAUGACUGCCCUAUGGGUUGUAAACUUCGUUUAUAUGGGAAUAAAACGUUCCACGUGUGGGAUUUUGUAUGUACCAUAUGAAUAAGGAUCGGCUAAAUCCGUGCCAGCAGCCGCGGUAAUAAGGAGGAUCCGAGCGUUAUCCGGAUUUAUUGGGUUUAAAGGGAGCGUAGGUGGAUUGUUAAGUUAGUUGUGAAAGUGUGCGGCUCAACCGUAAAAUUGCAGUUGAAACUGGCAGUCUUGAGUACAGUAGAGGUGGGCGGAAUUCGUGGUGUAGCGGUGAAAUGCUUAGAUAUAACGAAGAACUCCGAUUGCGAAGGCAGUUCACUGGACUGCAACUGACACUGAGGCUCGAAAGUGUGGGUAUCAAACAGGAUUAGAUACCCCUGUAGUC